GACGAACGCUGGCGGCGUGCUAACACAUGCAAGUCGAACGAUGAACCCGGAGCUUGCUCCGGCGGAUUAGUGGCGAACGGGUGAGUAACACGUGAGUAACCUGCCCUUGACUCUGGGAUAACUGCUAGAAAAGGUAGCUAAUACCGGAUACGACCCUCGGUGGCAUCACCAGGGGGUGGAAAGAAUUUCGGUCAAGGAUGGACUCGCGGCCUAUCAGCUAGUUGGUGAGGUAACGGCUCACCAAGGCGACGACGGGUAGCCGGCCUGAGAGGGUGACCGGCCACACUGGGACUGAGACACGGCCCAGACUCCGACGGGAGGCAGCAGUGGGGAAUAUUGCACGAUGGGCGCAAGCCUGAUGCAGCAACGCCGCGUGAGGGAUGACGGCCUUCGGGUUGUAAACCUCUUUUAGUAGGGAAGAAGCGAAAGUGACGGUACCUGCAGAAAAAGCACCGGCUAACUACGUGCCAGCCGCCGCCGUAA
rnacentral:rRNA from 1 species